rnacentral:rRNA from 1 species
AAGAAACAAUGAUUCCCUANUACUGCGAGUGAAGANCGACAAGCUCAAAUUUUAAAUCUGUUCGGUUGGUACCUGACAGAGUUGUAAUUUAAAGAAACGUUUUCUCGUGUCUUGAGUUAAUCAAAAUCCUUUGGAAUGAGGUAUCAUGGAGGGUGACAAUCCCGUUCAUGGUUAAUUCUAAGAUGCUUUAUGAUGCGUUUUCGAAGAGUCGGGUUGUUUGGGAUUGCAGCUCAAAAUGGGAGGUAAAUUUCUCCUAAGGCUAAAUAUUGGCGAGAGACCGAUAGCGAACAAGUACCGUGAGGGAAAGAUGAAAAGAACUUUGAAAAGAGAGUUAAACAGUACGUGAAAUUGUUGAAAGGGAAACGAUUGAAGUCAGUCGUACUAGCGGGAAAUCAACCUUUCGAGUGGGGAUUUGGAGUUUUGAAGAGUGUCAAAACCUUCGAGAUUUCAAAAUGUUCGCUCUUUUGGUGUACUUUCUCGCAGGUAGGUUGACAUCGAUUUUGAUCAUCAUAAAAGGAUUGGAGGAAUGUAGCUUCGAUCUCGUAUUGAAGUGUUAUAGCCUUUGGUAAAUGUGAUGAUUAGGAUCGAGGAUUGCAACGAAUACCCUUUUGGGCUAUCCGCCUGAUCUCUGUUACGUGGCCUUGGUAUCGAAAGCGUGCUUAUGGUAUUAAGGUAUUACGGUCAAAAGGUUAGAACGGAUUACAUUCGUUAAGGAUGUUGACGUA